GAUGAACGCUGGCGGCGUGCUUAACACAUGCAAGUCGAACGGUGAAGGCGGAGCUUGCUCUGCUGGAUCAGUGGCGAACGGGUGAGUAACACGUGAGCAAUCUGCCCCUGACUCUGGGAUAAGCGCUGGAAACGGCGUCUAAUACUGGAUACGAGCUGCGAAGGCAUCUUCAGCAGCUGGAAAGAACUUCGGUCAGGGAUGAGCUCGCGGCCUAUCAGCUUGUUGGUGAGGUAACGGCUCACCAAGGCGUCGACGGGUAGCCGGCCUGAGAGGGUGACCGGCCACACUGGGACUGAGACACGGCGCAGACUCCUACGGGAGGCAGCAGUGGGGAAUAUUGCACAAUGGGCGGAAGCCUGAUGCAGCAACGCCGCGUGAGGGACGACGGCCUUCGGGUUGUAAACCUCUUUUAGCAGGGAAGAAGCGAAAGUGACGGUAACUGCAGAAAAAGCGCCGGCUAACUACGUG
rnacentral:rRNA from 1 species